CUGCCCCUGACUCUGGGAUAAGCGUUGGAAACGACGUCUAAUACUGGAUAUGACCGCCGAUCGCAUGGUCUGGUGGUGGAAAGAUUUUUUGGUUGGGGAUGGACUCGCGGCCUAUCAGCUUGUUGGUGAGGUAAUGGCUCACCAAGGCGACGACGGGUAGCCGGCCUGAGAGGGUGACCGGCCACACUGGGACUGAGACACGGCCCAGACUCCUACGGGAGGCAGCAGUGGGGAAUAUUGCACAAUGGGCGAAAGCCUGAUGCAGCAACGCCGCGUGAGGGAUGACGGCCUUCGGGUUGUAAACCUCUUUUAGUAGGGAAGAAGCGAAAGUGACGGUACCUGCAGAAAAAGCACCGGCUAACUACGUGCCAGCAGC
rnacentral:rRNA from 1 species